rnacentral:rRNA from 1 species
GAUUUCUGGUUUUGCGAGAUUGACCCUCGACUACGGUCGCAGCGUGUUUGGUCUCGCUUGCCAUCCUUCUGGGGAGGGGCUCACAUCACUUUAAUGUGUUUGGGUCACAUAACCAGAUCUUUUACUUUGAAAAAAUUAGAGUGUUUAAAGCAGGCUGUCGCUGUGAAUACAUUAGCAUGGAAUAAUAAUUUAGGACUUUUGUCCUGUUUUGUUGGUUUAUUGGACGGAAGUAAUGAUUGAUAGGGAUAGUUGGGGGUGCUAGUAUUCAGCGGCCAGAGGUGAAAUUCUUGGAUUCGCUGAAGACUAACUUAUGCGAAAGCAUU